rnacentral:rRNA from 1 species
AGCAGCCGCGGUAAUUCCAGCUCCAAUAGCGUAUAUUAAAGUUGUUGCAGUUAAAAAGCUCGUAGUUGAAUUUCGGGAUUUAUCCGUCGGUCGGGCUUUUGGGUCUGUACUGGCGUGAUGGAUUCCUACCUUCUGAAUAACCGGCAUGUCAUUAAUUUGGUGCGCCGGGAAGCAGGACUGUUACCUUGAAAAAAUUAGAGUGCUUAAAGCAGGCUUAUGCCUGAAUACAUUAGCAUGGAAUAAUGAAAUAGGACGGCAUGGUUCUAUUUUGUUGGUUUCUAGGAUCACCGUAAUGAUUAAUAGGGAUAGUUGGGGGCAUUAGUAUUCAAUUGUCAGAGGUGAAAUUCUUGGAUUUAUUGAAGACUAACUUCUGCGAAAGCAUUUGCCAAGGAUGUUUUCAUUAAUCAAGACGAAAGUUAGGGAUCGAAGACGAUCAGAUACCGUCGUAGUCUUAACCAUAAACUAUAGCCGACUAGGGAUCGGACGAUGUUAAUUUUUAUGUACUCGUUCGCGCCGUUAC